rnacentral:lncRNA from 11 species
GCUGAAUUAAUUUUCACAGAAUAAAAACGUGUGAGGCGUGCAUUGAAAAGAAUGCCCAUGUGCCAUUUUCUUUGAAAUAUUAAUCCAUUAUUGAUAAUUUCUCUGAAAUUAUUAAUUGUACCACUUAAUAGAGUCAUUCUUUCUGCAUGAUACAAUUUAUGUAUUUCUAGGUCUUGUAUAAUCAUGGACAUGAAGCAGAAAGAAAGAGCAUUGAGUUCUUGCCCAAAGAAGGAUAUACCGCUGCUGACAUCCACAGAAGUCUUAGAAAUGUAUAUGGUGAGGUGACAACUGAUGAGAGCAAUAUGUGAAUAUGAGUGGGAAAGUCUUAAAAAAGUGAAUCCAGUGCAGAAGAUAAACAAGAUUCUUGCUCAGAUGGAAUGGUCAGAGGCUCUACAUCCACCACCACCUUAUCUAGUGACCUCAGACUUUCACCUGUUUGAUCAGAUGAUGGAAGCUCUUCAGGGACAACAUCUCAAUCAUCUGCAAAGUGGAUGA